GACGAACGCUGGCGGCAUGCCUAAUACAUGCAAGUCGAGCGAACAGAUGAAGUGCUUGCACUUCUGACGUUAGCGGCGAACGGGUGAGUAACACGUAAGGAAUCUACCUAUAAGCGGGGGAUAACAUUCGGAAACGGGUGCUAAUACCGCAUAAUAUCUUCUUCCGCAUGGAAGAAGAUUGAAAGACGGCUCUGCUGUCACUUAUAGAUGACCUUGCGGUGCAUUAGUUAGUUGGUGGGGUAAUGGCCUACCAAGACGAUGAUGCAUAGCCGACCUGAGAGGGUGAUCGGCCACAUUGGGACUGAGACACGGCCCAAACCCCUACGGGAGGCAGCAGUAGGGAAUCUUCCGCAACGGGCGAAAGCCUGACGGAGCAAUGCCGCGUGAGUGAAGAAGGCCUUCGGGUCGUAAAACUCUGUUAUAAGAGAAGAACAAAUUGUAGAGUAACUGCUACAGUCUUGACGGUAUCUUAUCAGAAAGCCACGGCUAACUACGUGCCAGCCGCCGCGGUAA
rnacentral:rRNA from 1 species